GAGGUCACUGCUAUCGGGGUUCGAUUAAGCCAUGCGAGUCGAGAGGGUUCGGCCCUCGGCGUACUGCUCAGUAACACGUGGAUAACCUGCCCUAAGGAAGGGGAUAACCCCGGGAAACUGGGAAUAAUACCCUAUAGGUUACAGAUGCUGGAAUGCUCUGUAACUCAAAGUUCAGGCGCCUUAGGAUGGAUCUGCGGCCGAUUAGGUUGUUGUUGGGGUAACGGCCCAACAAGCCAGUAAUCGGUACGGGUUGUGGGAGCAAGAGCCCGGAGUUGGAUUCUGAGACACGAAUCCAGGCCCUACGGGGCGCAGCAGGCGCGAAAACUUUACAAUGCGGGCAACCGUGAUAAGGGAACCUCGAGUGCCUGUAUAUGCAGGCUGUCCAGGUGUCUAAAACACACCUGAAGAAAGGGCCGGGCAAGACCGGUGCCAGCCGCCGCGGUAAUACCGGCGGCUCGAGUGGUGGCCACUUUUAUUGGGCUUAAAGCGUUCGUAGCUGGGUUGUUAAGUCUCUUGGGAAAUCCGGCGGCUCAACCGUCGGGCGUCUAAGAGAUACUGGCAGUCUUGGAACCGGGAGAGGUGAGGGGUACUUCGGGGGUAGGAGUGAAAUCCUGUAAUCCUCGAGGGACCACCUGUGGCGAAGGCGCCUCACCAGAACGGCUUCGACAGUGAGGGACGAAAGCUGGGGGAGCAAACCGGAUUAGAUACCCGGGUAGUCCCAGCCGUAAACGAUGUGCGUUAGGUGUAUCGACGACCACGAGUCGUCGAGGUGCCGAAGGGAAACCGUGAAACGUACCGCCUGGGAAGUACGGUCGCAAGGCUGAAACUUAAAGGAAUUGGCGGGGGAGCACCACAACAGGUGGAGCCUGCGGUUUAAUUGGACUCAACGCCGGGAAUCUCACCGGAUAAGACAGCGGAAUGAUUGCCGGGCUGAAGACUCUGCAUGACUAGCUGAGAGGAGGUGCAUGGCCGUCGUCAGUUCGUACUGUGAAGCAUCC
rnacentral:rRNA from 1 species